rnacentral:rRNA from 1 species
AACGAACGCUGGCGGCAGGCUUAACACAUGCAAGUCGAACGCAUCCUUCGGGAUGAGUGGCAGACGGGUGAGUAACGCGUGGGAAUCUACCUAUUUCUGCGGGAUAACACAGGGAAACUUGUGCUAAUACCGCAUACGCCUCGUGAGAGGGAAAGAUUUAUCGGAGAUAGAUGAGCCCGCGUCUGAUUAGCUAGUUGGGGGGGUAAUGGCCUACCAAGGCGACGAUCAGUAGCUGGUCUGAGAGGAUGAUCAGCCACACUGGGACUGAGACACGGCCCAGACUCCUACGGGAGGCAGCAGUGGGGAAUAUUGGACAAUGGGGGCAACCCUGAUCCAGCCAUGCCGCGUGAGUGAUGAAGGCCCUAGGGUUGUAAAGCUCUUUCACCGGAGAAGAUAAUGACGGUAUCCGGAGAAGAAGCCCCGGCUAACUCCGUGCCAGCCGCCGCGGUAACAC